rnacentral:rRNA from 1 species
UACGUAGGGGGCAAGCGUUGUCCGGAAUCAUUGGGCGUAAAGAGCGUGUAGGCGGUCCGGUAAGUCGGCUGUGAAAGUCCAGGGCUCAACCCUGGGAUGCCGGUCGAUACUGCCGGACUAGAGUUCGGAAGAGGCGAGUGGAAUUCCCGGUGUAGCGGUGAAAUGCGCAGAUAUCGGGAGGAACACCAAUGGCGAAGGCAGCUCGCUGGGACGUGACUGACGCUGAGACGCGAAAGCGUGGGGAGCAAACAGG